rnacentral:lncRNA from 1 species
CCUCUCUACACUUCAUUGAUAGAGCAGCGCUUCCUAAGGAUGUGAUCUUUUACACAGACGAGGAUGAAUGGGCCACCUGGAACAAAAUAGGUGAUAGCGUUCUUCACAUCGAGCUCCGCAGAUGGGCUGAUAUUAUGGUUAUUGCUCCGCUGUCAGCAAACACACUUGGCAAGGUGAGUAUCUGAAAAUUUAGGCCAUUAGCAUGUGCUAGAAAUAAUAUGUUACACUCAGAUCACUAUAUACAGUGACAGUUUUAGUAAGGGUUGAGGAGGGACAGUAAAAUGCUGAAAGGUUUUAUUAUUAGUUUGUAUUUCCUUUCUCUCCCCCACUUUUUUAAUUUUAGACACUUAUUCUUGGUUUGUCUUUUUUUGGUUCUUAUUUAAACCAGACAAAGCAAUGUUAUUAUGGUGGUGGAAACCUCAUUGAAACUAAGCAUUAUUUGUGAAAUCCAUUUCUGCAAUCCCUUCUAAAUAGAACUCUGAAAAAUAUCAUUAGAAACACAACAUUAUCAUUCCUUGUGAUUUUAAAUUUAUAUCUUUGACUAAGAACAAGGAUGGAUAACAAUUCACUAAUACGGGGUGUAUAUAUAUCUCACUUUUUAAUGUGUUUACCUUUCUUUUCUUUUUUUCCACUUUUUUCCAUUAUCUGUGGGAUAUUUCUGUUUUGUUAAGUCAUCACUUGUGCAUGAUGAAUGUCCUGGUUUCCAUGAUCUCUUCUCACCUUGGUUAAUAAGAUGCCAAUGAUUUCAUUCUAUUAAUCAAGUUUUAGUAACUAGUAAAAUAAAAUAAACAGCCGUCGGCAUUAAUGAAUGGACAUGUAAAAUAUUAAUAUAAACUUACCUUUCAAGAUAGACAAUUCUGAUCAAACUGCAUGCCCAUAGAAGAAUAGUAUCUUGUCUUUUGCCAUGCACUCUGCUUGUCAUUGAGUUUGAAAUGCAUCCUGAUCAUCAGAUCAUUAUUAUGAAUGUUUAUUUCACUUCUGGUCCUUAAAUUUCCUCAGUGAACUGAGAAUGACUACCAUCAGUACCAUCCUGUUGUACACUUGUCUUGUUUAAGAUAUAUAAGUUCCAGGAAGACUAGACUUUGCUUAUGUUGAGUAAUACACUACUGUUAUGUAAGCAUGCCUGUGUCUUGAGUUGUGCAUCAUACAGUUCGUGCCCCUUUCCUGUAUAAUGAUUUAGAAGGACUUCUCUUGACUGCCUCUGGCAUCUCAAUUUUCGUAUGAUUCUGAUUUGGCUCUCAUAAUUGCUAUAUUUCUGUUGUAGAUUGCAGGUGGAUUGUGUGACAAUCUGCUGACAUGCAUUGUACGGGCAUGGGACUACAAUAAGCCACUGUUUGUUGCACCUGCUAUGAACACUUUCAUGUGGAAUAAUCCAUUCACGGAGCGGCAUCUUAUGUCAAUUGAUGAGCUUGGAAUUUCUCUCAUUCCACCUGUCUCAAAAAGGCUGGCUUGUGGAGAUUAUGGUAAUGGUGCCAUGGCUGAACCUUCAUUGAUCUACUCGACUGUGAGACUGUUCGCAGAGUCAAGGAACCAGUCAGGC